CUGAGUCAGAUCAGGAACUAUGGCACAUGAAUUUCUGCAGUGAUUCAUUAAGUACUUGGGGAGAAUGGUGUUUCUGUCUGUUUUGGAAACCGGUGAACAGUCAUGGUUUUGUGCCCGGCUGAUGUGGUGAGGCAGAGAUCCAAGCACAUGGAUGUAGGUGCUGGGCACAGAGAGGAGCAUGAAGAAGGAAGCCCUGCGGACUUCACAGCACCCACCUUUUGGAAGCAGAGCACAUUUCAUAGCUCCUGUUGAAAGAAGCCAUCACUAUUGAAACAUAGACAUGGAUGAGACAAUCAAAUUAAGAGGGGAAAAAUUCCACUGAUUUCAGCCAAGACAUGUGUGUGCAUGGGAAAGACACCUGGAGGAAAUAUAUAAGGAGAUAAAGUGGUGCC